GCAAUGGGCGCAAGCCUGACGGAGCAAGACCGCGUGCGGGAUGAAGGUCUGUGGACUGUAAACCGCUUUUGAUAGGGAAGAAGACAGUGACGGUACCUAUCGAAUCAGCCUCGGCUAACUCGUGCCAGCAGCCGCGGUAAUACGGAGGAGGCAAGCGUUAUCCGGAAUUAUUGGGCGUAAAGCGUCCGUAGGUGGUGAUGCAAGUCUAUUGUCAAAGCGUGAGGCUUAACCUCAUACCGGCAGUGGAAACUGCAUUGCUAGAGUGCGAUAGGGGCAAGGGGAAUUCCCAGUGUAGCGGUGAAAUGCGUAGAUAUUGGGAAGAACAUCGGUGGCGAAAGCGCCUUGCUGGGUCUGCACUGACACUGAGGGACGAAAGCUAGGGGAGCGAAAGGGAUUAGA
rnacentral:rRNA from 1 species